UACGUAGGGUGCGAGCGUUGUCCGGAAUUAUUGGGCGUAAAGGGCUCGUAGGCGGUUUGUCACGUCGGGAGUGAAAACUCGGGGCUCAACCCCGAGCCUGCUUCCGAUACGGGCAGACUAGAGGUAUGCAGGGGAGAAUGGAAUUCCUGGUGUAGCGGUGAAAUGCGCAGAUAUCAGGAGGAACACCGGUGGCGAAGGCGGGUCUCUGGGCAAUAACUGACGCUGAGGAGCGAAAGCGUGGGGAUCAAACAGG
rnacentral:rRNA from 1 species